rnacentral:rRNA from 1 species
AACGAACGCUGGCGGCAGGCUUAACACAUGCAAGUCGAGCGCCCCGCAAGGGGAGCGGCAGACGGGUGAGUAACGCGUGGGAAUCUACCGUGCCCUACGGAAUAGCUCCGGGAAACUGGAAUUAAUACCGUAUACGCCCUACGGGGGAAAGCUUUAUCGUGGUAUGAUGAGCCCGCGUUGGAUUAGCUAGUUGGUGGGGUAAAGGCCUACCAAGGCGACGAUCCAUAGCUGGUCUGAGAGGAUGAUCAGCCACAUUGGGACUGAGUCACGGCCCAAGCUCCUACGGGGGGCAGCAGUGGGGAAGAUUGGACAAGGGGCGCAAGCUUGAACCAGCCAUGCAGCGUUGAUGAUGAAAGUCUUAGGAUUGUAAAGCUCUUUCACCGAUGAAGAUAAUGACGGUAGUCGGAGAAGACGCCCCGGCUAACUUCGUGCCAGCGGCCGCCGUAAUAC